rnacentral:misc_RNA from 1 species
GAUGAAGAACGCAGCGAAAUGCGAUAAGUAGUGUGAAUUGCAGAAUUCAGUGAAUCAUCGAAUCUUUGAACGCACAUUGCGCCCCUUGGUAUCCCGAGGGGCAUGCCUGUUCGAGCGUCAUUUCACCACUCAAGCCUGGCUUGGUGUUGGGCGACGUCCUCUUUGGGGACGCGCCUCGAAACGCUCGGCGGCGUGGCACCGGCUUUAAGCGUAGCAGAAUCUUUUGCUUUGGAAGUCGGGGCCCCGUCUGCCGGAAGACCUGCUCGCAAGGUUGACCUCGGAUCAGGCAGGGAUACCCGCUGAACUUAAGCAUAUCAAUAAGCGGAGGA